rnacentral:rRNA from 1 species
AACGAACGCUGGCGGCGUGCCUAACACAUGCAAGUCGUGCGAGAAAGUUCCUUCGGGAGCGAGUAAAGCGGCGCACGGGUGAGUAACACGUAGGUAACCUGCCCCCCAGUCUGGAACAACUAGAGGAAACUCUAGCUAAUGCCGGAUGAGACCACGAUCCCUUCGGGGGUUGCGGCCAAAGAUGGCCUCUACUUGUAAGCUAUCGCUGAGGGAUGGGCCUGCGGGCCAUUAGCUUGUUGGUGAGGUACGACGUCUACCAAC